CAGCAGCCGCGGGAAUACGAAGGGUGCAAGCGUUACUCGGAAUUACUGGGCGUAAAGCGUGCGUAGGUGGUGGUUUAAGUCCGUUGUGAAAGCCCUGGGCUCAACCUGGGAAUUGCAGUGGAUACUGGGUCACUAGAGUGUGGUAGAGGAUAGUGGAAUUUCCGGUGUAGCAGUGAAAUGCGUAGAGAUCGGAAGGAACAUCUGUGGCGAAGGCGACUAUCUGGGCCAACACUGACACUGAGGCACGAAAGCGUGGGAAGCAAACAGGAUUAGAGACCCGUGUAGUCCCUGUCUCUUAUAC
rnacentral:rRNA from 1 species